CUGUCACCCAAGGAUUUGGCAGGAACCUCUGGCUUUGGUGCUAUGGGCCUGUACCUAGACAUAAUCUCAACUGUCUUAGCAGUAGAGUAAGGACUCAGGGUCUUGAUCAUGGUGAAUGGAUUGAACAAGUGCUUAAAGAUGAAGAAGCAGGUCUAUAGCAGAAGAGAAAAUGGCGAAAGGGAUUGUGCAAUUGGUAGGUGAAAGGAGGAGAGGUGAAACUCGAAAGGAUGGGUAAGAGUGUGCGUUUAGAAGG
rnacentral:misc_RNA from 1 species